UGAAUAUGAAUAAUCAUGAAAAAAAAGAGAGAAGACAACUGUAAAUCCAAUAUCCUACAAGAUCAACAUUUGAUCAGGAUACUACAAACCAACCUUCCUAAAAGUAAAAUUUCUAAACAUAAUACGAUUUAUAGUAUAUUAAGAUGACCAAAAUUAACCCAACCAAACCUUCAUUAGCCAUUAGUUGUGACAAUAUUUUUCAAUAACAAAACCAUUAGUGUGAAUAACUCUCACAUAUUGUUUGCAUAUUUUUAAAUUGGAAUGUAAAAUUUGUAUGUUAUACAAAUAUAUCAAGAUGAAUCUUCAAAGUAGACACUCUCAAAUUAAAAAUUAAACACAUGAAGAAAUGCUUUUCAAGUCAACAAAGACUAAAUGAGAGUACAACAAACCCACGAGUCAUAUCUUAGUGUUGUACUUAAGAAUAAUCACUUGCAACAUUGGGAAGCGAAAGGUGUAGUACUUAAC
rnacentral:lncRNA from 1 species